CCUACGGGGAGCAGCAGUGAGGAAUAUUGGUCAAUGGGCGCGAGCCUGAACCAGCCAAGUAGCGUGAAGGAUGACUGCCCUACGGGUUGUAAACUUCUUUUAUAAAGGAAUACAGUGAUGCACGUGUGCCUUUUUGUAUGUACUUUAUGAAUAAGGAUAGGCUCACUCCGUGCCAGCAGCCGCGGUAAUACUGAGGAUCCGAGCGUUAUCCGGAUUUAUUGGGGUUAAAGGGAGCGUAGAUGGGUUGUUAAGUCAGUUGUGAAAGUUUGCGGCUCAACCGUAAAAUUGCAAUUGAUACUGGCAGCCGUGAGUACAGUUGAGGUAGGCGGAAUUCGUGGUGUAGCGGUGAAAUGCUUAGAUAUCACGAAGAACUCCGAUUGCGAAGGCAGCUUACUAAACUGCCACUGACAUUGAUGCUCGAAAGUGUGGGUAUCAAACAGGAUUAGAUACCCGAGUAGUC
rnacentral:rRNA from 1 species